GACGAACGCUGGCGGCGUGCUUAACACAUGCAAGUCGAACGGAAAGGCCCUGCUUUUGUGGGGUGCUCGAGUGGCGAACGGGUGAGUAACACGUGAGUAACCUGCCCUUGACUUUGGGAUAACUUCAGGAAACUGGGGCUAAUACCGGAUAGGAGCUCCUGCUGCAUGGUGGGGGUUGGAAAGUUUCGGCGGUUGGGGAUGGACUCGCGGCUUAUCAGCUUGUUGGUGGGGUAGUGGCUUACCAAGGAUUUGACGGGUAGCCGGCCUGAGAGGGUGACCGGCCACAUGGGGACUGAGAUACGGACCAGACUCCUACGGGAGGCAGCAGUGGGGAAUAUUGCACAGUGGGCGGAAGCCUGAUGCAGCAGCGCCGCGUGCGGGAUGACGGCCUUCGGGUUGUAAACCGCUUUCGCCUGUGACGAAGCGUGAGUGACGGUAAUGGGUAAAGAAGCACCGGCUAACUACGUG
rnacentral:rRNA from 1 species